CAGUGAGUAGCAUCUGCCUGCAAAACCGGAGGCUGCAUUUUCAGGACCGCAUUUCUAGGACCCUAGGUUUUUAGUGACAACGCCACCUACCGAAUUAGAGGACCAGCGAAGAUGGAUGACAGUCAGAGUGGAAGUGGAAGAAUUGAAUAGGGUGCUAGAGAAACAACUGAGAAAAGAGGGGAGAGCAUCCAGGUGGAGUCAGUGAAGACGUCGUCCAUGAAGUUCUUUCUAUGUGGUUCACGUCAUGAACAAAUUUGUUUUUGUGUGUGUUCAAGUUCAACUGUUGUAAUAUAUUAUUUUAUAAAAUAUACAGAAUCUUAA